AAAUAGACUAAACUGUGUCAAGCAUGUAUUGAGUGUUUAAAAUCUAAGCAGUCCUAUCUUUCUGCCUAUUGAAAUAUAUCGUGCCUCAGAAAUGGUAGUGCAAUGGAUAGAAAGUAUGUUAACAUAAACUUCCUGUAAAAUUAGUAACUCCAUAGGACAAGCCUUUGGUCAAUCGAACAAGGUGGCUCCAAUUUCUCACUCUGGGCCUGCAAGUAUCUUUACACAUUUCCACAGGCCUAUAGAGUAAGACUGCCACAGAGAUAGUUCAAGGUGACAACGGCUCCUCUGCAGCAGCACAUAGCGGUGCUGCCAGAGACAACAGCAGAUCAAGUAACUACUGAAGAUGAUGGCUACACUUGGACAGCUGAGCGAAGAGAAUAUCCACUUCGUUGGCUUCUGACAUACGCACUGACAGCACAGUUCACCACACAACAAUCACCUCUUCUGGCGUCCCUUUCCCCAGUCGUCACCCGUAGCAUCCAGUUAAGCGGCUCUCCACCUUGCUCAUUUUGGUCUAUCUGGAUUUACACAAAUUCACUGUGCACGUGCCUGGGGCGGGCAAACCCGGAAAG
rnacentral:sRNA from 1 species